rnacentral:lncRNA from 1 species
AAUAACAUUUGUUGAUAUUCAUCAUUGGCCUCAUUGUUGAACAUAUUAUUUGCAAAGAAUCUUAAACUCUGUAGUGCCAGAAUGAUUCUCAUCUGUGCCAUAUUUUGCAAUUAAAAGUAACACACCCUUAGAAGAAUCAAAUAAGAGCCAUCUACAUCCCAGGAGGAUGCACCAAGUUGCUCACAGUGGAUCUUUUCCUCUAAAAUGAUCUUUUAUGUUCUAAAAAGUGAAAUCCCCUUUAUCUGUGUUUAUAUUCUCUACAGCCCAUAAAACUGAUGUGAUUGUUAUGUUAUACUCAUCAGAUACUUUUCUUACAUAAAUCUUUUGUUGUUGUUCUGACAUCUUUCAUUACAAAAUUUAUUUUCUUAACAAAAAGGAACAUAACCCAGCAUCCCAAGUGUCUGUGUUGGCUUUAACAUUCUCUACAUGGUGGUCUAGAUAAGCUAAUUUUUUUUUUUUUUUUUGUAAAAUGUAAUAGCUAGAAAAUGUUAUCUUGGCGCUUGUUUUUGUAAAUCAUUUAGUAUAGGCUGCUAGCUUUACUGGUACUUUACGCUUUGAUUCCAAGAAGCCUUGUGCAGUUGCCUUAUCAAAUGGCCAGCUAAAUUAAAGAUGCUCUUUUGUGUUGUGAAUUUCAUAGUUCUGUACAGAGCUUGUUUCAAUUUACAAAAAUAAGUACAUUCCACAGAAUGCCUAAAGUGUGUAAUUUUCUUUAAAUAAUAGUAGGUGAGGGAGAAACAUAAUGGCUCUAGGUCAAUCCCUUAUCUAAAGACCUUGUUCAACUUCAUAGUCCCUUUCCUUUUAAAGAGAAGAAGAGAAAAAUCCCCCCUGGCCAGGCAUGGUGGCUCACGUCUGUAAUCCCAGCACUUUGGGAGGCUGAGGUGGGUGGAUCACCUAAGGUCAGGAGUUUGAGACCAGCCUGGCCAACAUGGUGAAACCCUAUCUCUACUGCAAAAUACAAAAAUUAGCCGGGCUUGGUGGCGGGUGCCUGUAAUCCCAGCUACUUGGGAGGUUGAGGCAGGAGAAUCACUUGAACCCAGAAGGCAGAGGUUGCAGUGGGCCAAGAUUACGCCAUUACAUUCCAUCCAGCCUGGGCGACAAGAGCAAAAUUCCGUCUCAAAAAAUCACCAGGUACAUACCUCUCAAGUUUGCUGAAGUGAGAAAACCAACAGAAAACAAUACAGAUUUGGGCAGAGGAGCUAGAGUUACAUCUUUAAAGGAGUGAGCCAGUCACCCAGGAGAAUCACAUGUGUAACUGAUGUAGGGGUUUAAGUCUUCGUACUUUCACUAAAAUCUGUCUACUAACUCUCCCACCAACCUUUGCAUCGAACACUUAGGUAGCUGCCUGAUUAGGGGGGCCCCUUUAAGGGGAAAAAAAAAAACUUUUUAAAAAUUAAAUGCCUUGGUUUUGUUUUAUCUUCUGGGAAAGAACACUUUUACUUGAUUAGCAAGAUGAUUAUAUUAUAUAACUUGCCCUUAAAAACACUCCAAAAUACUGACUCUUUUUCUCCAAUUACAAAUGAGAGUGUGAAGAAAUUCUGUUGUAUGAUUUGAACACUAUUAGGUUUGUAUGUGUGUUUAAUUGGAAGAAUUUUAUAUAGAGUAUCUCUGCUUCUUUUGUUUACCUGGGUACCACACAACCAAAUACACAUUGAGAUUUCAAGAAAUGAUGAUGAAAGCCAGAAGGCCAGACCACAGCUCUGCAGCCUGUUUCCUACAACCAGAUAUAAAACUCUUUCUCGUCGGCAUGCUGAUAGUCACACUGAACUAGAACUGUCCCAACACAUUCUUCCUCUCUCAUAAUGGCUUCCAUUUAAUACAGGCAAAGCCCUUUACCUUAGCAAAUUCUUUAUCUUUCAAAAGUGACCAAAAUGAGGACUUCAACCUUGGCUGCACCUCAAUAGGAGAUGCUGAUCUUGAGUUGUAAUGAGAAAAGUGGGCAUACAGAAGAUUUUAGUGACUGCAGUCAGCUGUCUGGCAUUCCUUUCUCAGUUUCCAUCUAAAAGACUACAUAUGUCAAGCUUAUCUCCACCUGAAUUUGCUGCCUGCUACAAAAACAUUUCAUUAAUAUAUCCCAUUCUUCCUACCUCCAUCUCUGGUUUGUCAUUAGUGGUAUUCUGAAAAGCUUAAGAAAAAAGAAUCAUUGAGUAGAAAGUGAACAUUUUAAGUUAUUUUCCUUUUUCAUUGGCAAUUAGUUAACAUGUAAAAUCUUUUCCAUUAAACUGUAUAACUUUUAAUAACUAUAUAUUAUAUAUGGGAUAAAAUAUAUGGACUGAAUUGUGAGAAUAUAAAUGCAUCGAAAGACUCUGGUGUCAUGAAAGCACAAGAAUAAGGCUGGAGAUGGUCCCAGAUCCAAGAUGUCCCAAAAGCCUUUUGUAUCAGUUUCUCUAUUUUUGGUAUUUUGCAUAAUGCAUGGAUCCUUAGUUCAAAUGAGGGACAAAGUUUCUCAGUCAGCCCCACUUCCUUUCUUUCUAACUCCUACCUUUCCCUUGCAGAGGAGGUAGUAGAGAUUCUGAAUUGUCUAUUUUUAUGAAUUCCAUUAUUUUGUCCAUGGCAUCUCUAAUGAAAACAGGUUCUAGAAUAAAGGAGUUGAUUAGUCUGAACAGUACUAAUUAACUACAAAAUAAACGUUAGUGAUCAGCCUCUUCCUCUAUAAACAAUGACCAAUUAGACGUUUCCGUAAUUCCAUGUAUUAUGUAUAGUACACUCUAUAAAUGUAAAUGUAAUGCUUGUCUAAAAAGUGCAAUUUAUUGUACAUUGUCCCAACAAAUGUUUACUUUUAUAAUCGUUAUGAACUUGAAUUGGAUUAGUAUUUUGUUUUUAUGUGUGAAUGAAGCCUUGUGAAAUAAACAGUUGCAACUGAGAAGGUAACAAGGUGACUGUUUUUGUGAGCCAGUGAUGUUUUCAAUGCUUUGUGUUGCCCCUUUGGCCCCAUUAAGCAGUAAUAAACAUUUGUUCUGAAGUCCA